rnacentral:rRNA from 1 species
CGAUUAGGAAUAUUGGUCAAUGGGCGCAAGCCUGAACCAGCCAUCCCGCGUGCAGGAUGACGGCCCUAUGGGUUGUAAACUGCUUUUAUACACCAAGAAAAAUCCCGACGUGUCGGGACCCGACGGUA